CCUCCAUUUCUUGGCAUACAUGCUGUUGCUCAGUACUGGUGUAUGUAUGUUUGGAGGUAGAUGAAGCCAAUGCUAUGUCUUCGGUGCCGGCAUUGUCUCGUGUGCCGGUUCUAUCCUCAAUCGCUGGUACAUUC
ensembl:snoRNA small nucleolar RNA SNORA57